UUGAACGCUGGCGGCAGGCCUAACACAUGCAAGUCGAACGGUAACAGGAAGAAGCUUGCUUCUUUGCUGACGAGUGGCGGACGGGUGAGUAAUGUCUGGGAAACUGCCUGAUGGAGGGGGAUAACUACUGGAAACGGUAGCUAAUACCGCAUAACGUCGCAAGACCAAAGAGGGGGACCUUCGGGCCUCUUGCCAUCGGAUGUGCCCAGAUGGGAUUAGCUAGUAGGUGGGGUAACGGCUCACCUAGGCGACGAUCCCUAGCUGGUCUGAGAGGAUGACCAGCCACACUGGAACUGAGACACGGUCCAGACUCCUACGGGAGGCAGCAGUGGGGAAUAUUGCACAAUGGGCGCAAGCCUGAUGCAGCCAUGCCGCGUGUAUGAAGAAGGCCUUCGGGUUGUAAAGUACUUUCAGCGGGGAGGAAGGGAGUAAAGUUAAUACCUUUGCUCAUUGACGUUACCCGCAGAAGAAGCACCGGCUAACUCCGUGCCAGCAGCCGCGGUAAUACGGAGGGUGCAAGCGUUAAUCGGAAUUACUGGGCGUAAAGCGCACGCAGGCGGUUUGUUAAGUCAGAUGUGAAAUCCCCGGGCUCAACCUGGGAACUGCAUCUGAUACUGGCAAGCUUGAGUCUCGUAGAGGGGGGUAGAAUUCCAGGUGUAGCGGUGAAAUGCGUAGAGAUCUGGAGGAAUACCGGUGGCGAAGGCGGCCCGCUGGACGAAGACUGACGCUCAGGUGCGAAAGCGUGGGGAGCAAACAGGAUUAGAUACCCUGGUAGUCCACGCCGUAAACGAUGUCGACUUGGAGGUUGUGCCCUUGAGGCGUGGCUUCCGGAGCUAACGCGUUAAGUCGACCGCCUGGGGAGUACGGCCGCAAGGUUAAAACUCAAAUGAAUUGACGGGGGCCCGCACAAGCGGUGGAGCAUGUGGUUUAAUUCGAUGCAACGCGAAGAACCUUACCUGGUCUUGACAUCCACGGAAGUUUUCAGAGAUGAGAAUGUGCCUUCGGGAACCGUGAGACAGGUGCUGCAUGGCUGUCGUCAGCUCGUGUUGUGAAAUGUUGGGUUAAGUCCCGCAACGAGCGCAACCCUUAUCCUUUGUUGCCAGCGGUCCGGCCGGGAACUCAAAGGAGACUGCCAGUGAUAAACUGGAGGAAGGUGAGGAUGACGUCAAGUCAUCAUGGCCCUUACGACCAGGGCUACACACGUGCUACAAUGGCGCAUACAAAGAGAAGCGACCUCGCGAGAGCAAGCGGACCUCAUAAAGUGCGUCGUAGUCCGGAUUGGAGUCUGCAACUCGACUCCAUGAAGUCGGAAUCGCUAGUAAUCGUGGAUCAGAAUGCCACGGUGAAUACGUUCCCGGGCCUUGUACACACCGCCCGUCACACCAUGGGAGUGGGUUGCAAAAGAAGUAGGUAGCUUAACCUUCGGGAGGGCGCUUACCACUUUGUGAUUCAUGACUGGGGUG
rnacentral:rRNA from 1 species